rnacentral:rRNA from 1 species
GAUGAACGCUAGCGGCAGGCUUAAUACAUGCAAGUCGAGGGGCAGCAUGAGUGUAGCAAUACAUUUGAUGGCGACCGGCAAACGGGUGCGGAACACGUACACAACCUUCCUUUAAGUGGGGAAUAGCCCGGGGAAACCCGGAUUAAUACCCCGUAACAUUAUGAAAUGGCAUCAUUUUAUAAUUAUAGCUCCGGCGCUUAAUGAUGGGUGUGCGGCUGAUUAGAUAGUUGGCGGGGUAACGGCCCACCAAGUCUGCGAUCAGUAACUGGUGUGAGAGCACGACCAGUCACACGGGCACUGAGACACGGGCCCGACUCCUACGGGAGGCAGCAGUAAGGAAUAUUGGUCAAUGGACGCAAGUCUGAACCAGCCAUGCCGCGUGGAGGAUGAAGGUCCUCUGGAUUGUAAACUUCUUUUAUUUGGGACGAAAAAGGAUCUUUCUAGAUCAACUGACGGUACCAGAUGAAUAAGCACCGGCUAACUCCGUGCCAGCAGCCGCGGUAAUACGGGGGGGGUAAGCGUUGUUCGGGAUUACUGGGCGUAAAGGGCUCGUAGGCGGCCAACUAAGUCGGACGUGAAAUCCCUCAGCUUAACUGGGGAACUGCGUCCGAUACUGGAUGGCUUGGAUUCGGGAGAGGAGUGCGGAAUUCCAGGUGUAGCGGUGAAAUGCGUAGAUAUCUGGAGGAACGCCGGUGGCGAAGGCGGCAUUCUGGACCGACAUUGACGCUGAGGAGCGAAAG